rnacentral:rRNA from 1 species
GGGAAAGGGCAGCAAGAGGAGGACAAGCAGGAGUUGAAGGACACCUUGGGCGUCCAGUCGGAAGCGUUAAGUGAGAAGUAUCUCGGUCUCCCAACACUGGUUGGGAGAUCCAAAGACGGAACCUUCAAAUAUGUGACUGAAAGUGCGAAGGGCAAAGUGAAUGGAGUGAAGGGGCAAGGCUUGUCAAAGGCAGCAAGCGAAGUGUUGAUCAAAUCAGGGCUGCAAGCUGUACCAACAUUCACCAUGAGUUGUUUCCAGCUCACGAAGAAAAUAUGCCGGAACCUGACAUCAAUUUCUUCUAAAUUC